UACGUAGGUGGCGAGCGUUAUUCGGAUUUACUGGGCGUAAAGGGUCCGUAGGGGGACACUUAAGUCUGAUGUGAAAUUUCAAGGCUCAACCUUGAACCUGCAUUGGAAACUGAGUGUCUGGAAUUCGGUAGAGGUAAGUGGAAUUUGUGGUGUAGCGGUGGAAUGCGUAGAUAUCACAAGGAACAUCAAAGGCGAAAGCAGCUUACUGGGCCGAUAUUGACCCUGAGGGACGAAAGCUAAGGUAGCGAAAAGG
rnacentral:rRNA from 1 species